rnacentral:misc_RNA from 1 species
CUUGAAGAUGAGAAUGAGGAACAAGAAGAGCAACCUGGAGAAACUAAGUUUGAAGAGUAUGAGAUUGAAAAAUCUGAAGAUUCGAGUCUUGAACAUUCACUUGUUGAAGAGCCUAUUCAAGAGCAAGAAGUUGAUAGAACUGCAUAAGCAAAGCUUGAGGAAGAUAUAUUUUGGGAAUGAAGAAGAUUCAAUGAACAAAUCAAUGAAAAUUGAAGGUUCUGUCAAGUUAAAGGACAUUUUAACUAUUGUUCUAAUUGAUUUUAUCUAUCUAGAUGUUUCCAAGAAUAAAAAAG